GGUAGACUGCUGGGUGAGUUUUUAUGUCUUCACUAUUAUUCUAUAAUGUAGAAAAUAAUGUAAAUAAAGGAAACCCCUUGAAUGAGUAGGUGUGUCCAACAGUUUGACUGGUAGUGUACGUGUGCGAAUGCUGUUCCUUGACUACAGCUCAGCGUUCAACACCAUUUUGUUCCCUCAAAGCUCAUCAUUAAGCUAAGGACUCUGGGACUAAACACCUCCCUCUGCAACUGGAUCCUGGACUUCCUGACGGGCCGCCCCCAGGUGAUGAGGGAGACUGAAAAGAUUUGGCAUGGGUCCUGAGAUCCUCAAAACGUUCUACAGCUGCACCGUCGAGAGCAUUCUGACCGGUUGCAUCACUGCCUGGUACGGCAACUGCUCGGCCUCCGACCGCUAGGCACUACAGAGGGUAGUGGGUACGGCCCAGUACAUCACUGGGGCUAAUCUGCCUGCCAUCCAGGACCUCUACACCAGGCGGUGUCAGAGGAAGGCCCUAAAAAUGGUCAAAGAUUCCAGCCACCCUAGGCAUAGACUGUUCUCUCUGCUACCGCACGGCAAGCGGUACCGGAGCUCCAAGUCCAGGACCAAAAGGCUCCUUAACAGCUUCUACCCCCGAGCCACAAGACUGCUGAACAAUUGUUCAAAUGGCCACCCGGACUAUCUACAUUGACCCCCCCCCUUAGUUUUUAUACCGCUGAUACUCGCUGUUUAUUAUCGUUGCAUAGUCACUUUACAAAUGACCUCGACUAACCUGUACCCACCGCACAUUGACUCGGUACCAGUACCCCCUGUAUAGAGUCUCUUUAUUGUAAUUUUAUUGUGUUACUUAAAAAUAAAUGUUUUACUCUAGUUUAUUUUGCAAAUAUUUUCUUAACUAUAUUUCUUGAACUGCAUUGUUUGUUGGUUAAGGGCUUGUAAGUAAGCAUUUCACUAAGGUCUGUUGUAUUCAGAGCAUGUGACUAAUAAAGUUUUAUUUUAUUGUA